UUCACAUUUUCACAUUUUAACCUAAAAUAAUCACACAAAUAUCAAUCAUUUUGAAGGAAAGUGCACUAUUUUCAACACCAGGGGGCGAUAUAAGCUCAAUCGAUCAGGCGCCAUUUGUUGCUUGUUUGAUUGAUUUGAUUUGUUUGUUUAUAUUAUGUGGAUAUUAUUUUGCCCUUUUCUGAAACCGUAUACAUAUUGUACAGUAGUCCCCCUUAAAACUGCGAGCAAUGGUAUAAUUAUUGAGUUAACUGGUCUUGCAAUGCUAGCAUAACUUAGUUCCUAUUUUUAACAGAGGAUAAAAUGUCUAUCAGCAUAACCAAGAAGAUUUGGGUUACUUUCACAAGUUUAGCUUUUUUUCUACUUCAGUUUGAAGCCUUCAUCUGGUCAAGCAGCUUUCAUUUCUCUAUUCAUUUUUAGUCGCAUUCAGCUAUUCUGGCACUGUUACCAGCGUUCAUAUAUUGGAUGAACUACUGAAACUCUUUUUGAUCAUCACUGGAUUAAAAGUAUGCAACAAAUGGCAUAUUUCAUGAAUAGAUAUUUGCAUAUCAUUUAUAGCUCAUAUUAAAAUGAACCCACAAACCUCAUUUUCAGAACAACUGAAUAACUGUUAUAGCAAGACAACAGGAAGAAUGAUUGUGUGUGUGGGGGGGAGGAUUUCCAGGUUGCAUGACUUCUGAAUUGAAAGAGGAACUUUAUAUGGCUUUCUGUAAAAAGAAACACCAAACGACAGUUUGGCCAUUUCUUCCAGCUGUCAAACGGACAUAGGUGAUAUAAGUUCACCUACACAUUUUGAUCAUGGAUGUAAAUCGCACUUGCUCAGGAGUUAAUUCUACAGAGAGUUGCACUCCUGAAAACCAAUCUUCUGUUGGACUUGCUGUUGGCUUGCCUAUAUUCUUUGUAAUCUUGUUGCUGGCGGGGAUAGCAGCACUAUUGUGGUUUCGAAGCAGAAAAUCAGUUUCUAACGUCGAGUUAUCUAAUAAACUUAAGAGCCAAGAUAACAGCCACAUGGAUCAUUCCAGGGAUUCUCCGUACAGUGGAUACGCCGGAGGGCCUCAAGCCACACCACAGAGCCCAAUCUAUGAGAACUUUCAGAGCGGACAGUCCAGUCAGCAUCAGUUUCAGAGGAGUGCCGUACAACAUGAGGACAAGCACAGAGUCCACCAGGCGCACCUGCAGUGUGAUCCGCAUGAUGCAAUCUACAGUAACGAUCCUGCCCUCUUCCACCCAGAUCAGACAGAAAUCUCGGAGGAUGUUUACAUCAUGCCAGAUGCUUGAACGCCUGACAUUGCUUGCUGUCCAGUAUUAUUUCUUAAAAUGUAAAUUAGAAAAAUUUGUUCUGGCAUGAUGUGAAAUAGUAAGUCUUUAGUUUCAGAGGGAAAAACACCAUAUAUCAUUUUAUCUGAAUGGAAAUGUAUAGGGUGUAGACGUUCUUCUGUUGUAUUAUAAACACUUUAAUAGGGUAGUUCAACCAAAAAAAGGAACAUUUACUCGCUGUUUACUCAACCUUAAGUGGUUUCAACCCUUUAUGAGUUUAUUUCUUCUGUUAAACACAAAAGAAGACUGUUGGAAACCGGUAACCAUUGACUUCCAUUGUUGGAAAACAAAUACACUACUAUGGAUGUCAGUGGUUACAGGUUUGUAAACACCAUCUUCUUUGGUGUUCAACAGAAGAAAGAAAAUCAUAAAGGUUUGGAACCAGUAAAAGAAAAGUAAAGAAUGACAGAAUAUUCAGUUGUGGGUGAACUUUCCCAUUAAGAUUUGUUUGAAAGA